UGGGGAAUUUUGCGCAAUGACCGAAAGGUUGACGCAGCAACGCCGCGUGUAUGAUGAAGGCUUUCGGGUCGUAAAGUACUUUCAGUGGGGAAGAACUGCAUAAUCAGUAACUGGGUUAUGAUUGACGGUACCCACAGAAGCAGCCCCGGCUAACUCCGUGCCAGCAGCCGCGGUAAUACGGAGGGGGCAGGCGUUGUUCGGAGUCACUGGGCGUAAAGAGCUCGUAGGCGGCAGUGUAAGUCGGGAGUUAAAGGCAACAGCUCAACUGUUGUAAGGCUUCUGAAACUACAUUGCUAGAGUGCCAGAGAGGUAUGCGGAAUUCCCUGUGUAGCGGUGAAAUGCGUAGAUAUAGGGAGGAACACCGGUUGCGAAGGCGGCAUACUGGCUGGUAACUGACGCUGAGGAGCGAAAGCGUGGGUAGCAAACA
rnacentral:rRNA from 1 species